ensembl:lncRNA
AGCUGGGCUUUUAAAGCCCGGAAUCCAGGAAGGUUUUGGGAGCGGGGCCCCGAGGUCCGGAGAUCCGACGGCUGCAGCCGAACCCGGAGUGUCUCUCGAGGUCUUCUGGCUUUCACCCCCCACGGGGGGCAAAGCUAGCCAGAACCGCUCUAGGGCGCCCACGUUGCAGCCGGGGCCGGGGCUGGCUGGGGAGCCACCGGGCGGCCCGGUGGCCAGCUCCGCCUUCUCCCGCACCCCGAGGGGGCGGCUCAGGACUGGGGUCUCCCGAGAGUCCUGGCUUGUGGUGGCCGCUGCUGGCUGGCUGGGAUGGAUUCCGCCGCCGCCGCCGCAGCUGCAGAAACAAUCCAGGCGGAGGAAGGUCUUCGCAGAGCGCGCCCUGCGCUCGGGGUCCGAGGAGUCGCUGGCCUGGGACUCGGAGCGAAGCUUCCGAAGCAGCAGUAGAUGCCAAUCGAGUAACCCAGAACUGCGAAGCCCAAGUCUCCGGCCAAAGGCACCUUGGCAACUUUUGGCGGCGCUUCUCCCCUAAGCGCUCUUCAGGCUCCGUGCUGGGUGAGGGAGAGUGACUGAGUGUGAGCGAGUGUGUGUGCGGUGCGCCGAUCUCAGGCUGUGCCCUCCUUCUUCUCUUCCUCCACCUCCUCCUCCUCCUCCUCCUCCAGCGGGUGACUCACGCUGUAUACACACAGUCCGAUUAUAUGUAAACAGUUGGGAAGCCGGGUUGUGCAAUGAGGUGCUACGAUUCCAGCUCCUCGGCCCACCACCCGGCUUGCUGGCGAGCAGAGCGGGGAGGGGAGGUGCAGCAGCAGCAGCAGCAGCAGCAGGACGGGGCGGGGGGAGAAGGAGGGGUCUGGAAGGGAAGGGACAGCUUCAAGACACCCAGGCGACGCGCGCACGGACGCAGGUGACGAGCCGGGCAAGGGAGCUCGCGCUCCCCGCACACACUCCUCCAACACGCCGAGGGAGGGAAGGAAGGACUGCGCGCUUGGAAAGAAAGAAAGUGGAAAAGAGAGAAGGAACGAGAAGAGGGAGCUCCCUCUCUCGGGCGCGCUCUCUCUGUCUCUCCCUCUCUCUCUCAGUCUCUUACAGCCAAACCCGCGGGCCGGGAAAGAGGAGAUUAAAAGUUGCCGUGACGUUAGAGGCCAGGAGAACCGGAGUUGGGCUAGGGUUGGGGGUGAGGGGGAGAGAAGGGGAAGGGGCGGGAUUUGUAGGGCGGAGCUUAGACGACGCCAGCGCUCAUUGGUUUGUGCUUCUUCCAUUCACUCCACAGCGAUUCACCGUCUCAGCUCGAGGAGUACAAUGGGCUGCGGAGGAGGAGAAAGAUGAGAAGACUGGCAGGCCAGGAUUCAAACUCGUGUCUUCUGAUCCCUGCAUCACACUGCCUUCCUUUUGAG